CCGCCGCUUCCUUUUGCCUUGACACACACCACGCAACGUGUUACGGUUCUUGAACGGAAUUGCGUACUUCGAUGCAGAGCGCUAUCGGGGGGAUUGGGGAUGGUAAAUGGAAGAAAUCAAAAACUUCUUUUGACGUCAACCCCUAAAACAGGGGACGGUGAUUGGUGGUAACCACGGACCGGAUAGGUAUCGAUAUGCACAUCAGGUGAGAAGUUUUUCCGA